GGGGAUGUGGCUUAAGUCGUAGAGUGCUUGCCUAGCAUGCAUGAGGCCCUGGGUUCAAUCCUCAGCACUACA
rnacentral:tRNA from 1 species